rnacentral:rRNA from 1 species
GACGAACGCUGGCGUCGUGCUUCACACCUGCCCGUCUAGCGCACACGCCCUGCUUGCCCCCUGCUCGAGUGCCGACCGGCUGAGUAACCCGUGGGUGAUCUGCCCCUUACUUUCGCAUACGCCUGGGCCACUCGGUCUACUACUGGCUAGCCCCCUGCUGUCCCUGGUGUUCUUGACAGCUUAGUUUCGGUCAGGGCUGAGCUCGCGGCCUAUCAGCUUGUUGGUGGGGUAAUGGCCUACCACGGCGUCGACGGGUAGCCGGCCUGAGAGGGUGGACGGCCACAUUGGGACUGAGAUACGGCCCAGACUCCUACGGGAGGCAGCAGUGGGGAAUAUUGCACAAUGGGCGCAAGCCUGAUGCAGCGACGCCGCGUGGGGGAUGACGGCCUUCGGGUUGUAAACUCCUUUCAGCCAUGACGAAGCCCUUGUGGUGACGGUAGUGGUAGAAGAAGCACCGGCUAACUACGUG